rnacentral:lncRNA from 1 species
GUCAUAAAAUCAACAAGGACCAUAGCUAAUUCCCGCCAUUUCCAUGCCCUUUCAAUCCUAUUCCUCUUGCCUAUCUUUUUCUCUCUCGUCGUUUAUCCUUCUUUCCACCUUUCCCUCUUUCAUCACUCAACCUCAAUUUUCCCACUUUUUCCUUUCCAGUUUCGAAAUUGUUGUACCAGUAGCGUACACUCCGUUUCUUGUCCUCCUGUUCCUUUGUGCCGUAGCCACAAUUACAUACAGCGCGGUUCAUGUAUCCUGUGGUAGACCUGUCAACCUCGUUUCGUCUAUUAAAUCUAUCAGAAAUUCCUUCUUCCCCAUUCUCUCCACCUUUAUCGUUUCGCAAACAAUUUUCAUUUCAAUCACUCUCAUUUUCGCCCUUGUCUUGGUUUUCUUAGUCCAAGUUCUUCAAACUCUUGGACUCAAAUAUGACUCGAAUCACUUCUUGUUUUUGGUUAUUCCCGUGGUGAUAGUGCUCGUGCCAGUUUUGAUAUGGCUGCAGGUUAACUGGUCAUUAGCUUAUGUUAUAGCAGUAGUCGAAUCCAAAUGGGGUUUCGAAACACUAAGGAGAAGUGCCUAUUUGUUAAAGGGGAAGAGAUCGGUAGCUUUGUCGAUGAUGCUGUUAUACGGGCUUUUGAUGGGAAUAAUGGUGGUUUUAGGUGCCAUGCAUUUAGUCAUUGUGGGCGCAGCGAAGGGUCAUAAGUGGAGAAGUUUAGGGGUAAUAUUGCAGACUGCUCAGGCUUCUGUAAUUGGCUAUAUGAUGAUGAGUCAAUUUCUUGUGGGGAAUGUUGUUUUGUAUAUGCGUUGCAAGGACUUGAAUGGUGAAAAAUUGCCCUUGGAAAUGGAUCAUCUUCUUCUUCUUCUUCCACCUACAAUGUCGUCUGCUUCUACGAAAAAUCGUAGCCUAUGGAUAGAGGUCGUAGAAUCAAGAAUGAGCAUAUUCAAAGCUAAUUCUAGCCAUUUCCAUGCACUUUCAAUCCUCUUCCUCUUGCCUAUCUCUUUCUCUCUCGUCGGGUAUCCUUUUUUCCACCUUGCUCUCUUUCAUCCGGACUAUGAUUUCAUCAGUUUCGCUCAACCCCAUCUUUUCCAUUCGAAUUUCGAAAUUAUUGUACCAACAGUGUACUCUCUUUUUCUGGUCCUCCUUUUCCUAUGCGCCGUAGCCACAACUACACAUAGCGCGGUUCAUGCAUCCUAUGGUAGACCUAUAAACCUCGUUUCAUCGACUAAAUCUAUCAGAAAGUCCUUCUUCCCCCUUUUAUCCACCUUAGUCAUUUCGCAAACCAUUUUCAUUUCAAUCACCCUCUUUUUCGCCCUAAUCUUGACUAUUGUAGUCCAAAUUCUUCAAGCUCUCGAACUAAUUGAACUCAAAUACGACUCAAAUCACUUCUUG